rnacentral:lncRNA from 1 species
CAAAGCUUUUGUAGAAUGCUUAUGUAUUUAACAAGUUAGAGAUAAUUACCUUAUAGAGAUAUACAUGUACAGAUAAUUAGAUAUUAAUCAUUUAAAGCGUGAACUGUAAUUUAGGAAGACUCUUAAUUGUCAUGUAACUUUGUAAGCUAUCAUUUUAACUGCCAAUGACAUUCACUUACAUUUCUCAUCACCUCACUUCAUCUUUUUCUGUUAAAUAAGUACAGGGGAAAUAGUUCAUAAACAAAUGCCAGACUAUGAUCCUUUUAUCUUUAGGUUACGGCUUACUGAUCCCAACCCAACUCAGCAGUGAGUAAAAUUUGUUGCUACAGAACAAUACUGGCAGAAGAACAAAUGGAUCCCAUGAAUAAAUUUAGGUUGAUAAUUAGAAGAAAUUUUCUAACCAUCUGGAAUAACAAUCAGAAUACUGAGGGUUGUGUAACAGUCUUCAGAUGAACAGUGGAAUGAGACCAUUGAAAUUUUUUGAAGAUGAAGCUUGAUAAACUUCUCUAUGGGAUUGUUUGGGAUGAUUGUCUGCAAAAACAGGGGGCUGAAAUAAAAAAUAAAAAACAAAACGAAACAAAACAAAACAAAACAUGAUGUUGUAUGCAGCCCUUUGUGCAAUUUAAGGGAAAGUGAUGUCAGUCCAUAAGGAUGAACAUUAUGGAAUGAGAAUGACUACUGCAGAGGCCAAGAACAGGAUAGAUAUGGAUCACUUUUCCUCACAAAGCAGAAAUGAGUUGGUGCCCACUUCAGGCCUGCUUUAUUGCAUAUAGGAAGAAAUUUCCACUGACCCAGGCAGGAGAGGUGGAAACCAUGGCAUUGGCAGGACAACCUGAUCGCACGAUCUCUCUAAAGUUCACAGGUCCAGCAAACUGAAAAGAAGGCACUGGACUGUUAAACAGACACCAGGGUGGGUAUUCAACUUCAUGAUCAGUGAUUGCUGUGUAGGUACAUACCUGGCAUAACUGUUUAAGUCCUGACCGCCACCCCCAGAUCCAAGCCUCCUCCUAGCCACUGGUUUGGUCUAGUGGGCAGAUCACUGGCCUAGGGCCCAUGAUGUAUGGGCAGAUCUUGACUGUGCUGUGGCAUUCAGCACCUUGAAGCAGGAGACUGGGCUGCUUUGUGGAGCUAUUUC